rnacentral:sRNA from 1 species
UGUUAAACAAGAGAGGUGACAAGAUACAC